rnacentral:rRNA from 1 species
GACGAACGCUGGCGGCGUGCCUAAUACAUGCAAGUCGAGCGGACGGAUGGGAGCUUGCUCCCAGACCGUCAGCGGCGGACGGGUGAGUAACACGUGGGCAACCUGCCUGUAAGACUGGGAUAACUCCGGGAAACCGGGGCUAAUACCGGAUAACUCUUUCCCUCACAUGAGGGAAAGCUGAAAGAUGGCAUCUCGCUAUCACUUACAGAUGGGCCCGCGGCGCAUUAGCUAGUUGGUGAGGUAACGGCUCACCAAGGCGACGAUGCGUAGCCGACCUGAGAGGGUGAUCGGCCACACUGGGACUGAGACACGGCCCAGACUCCUACGGGAGGCAGCAGUAGGGAAUCUUCCGCAAUGGACGAAAGUCUGACGGAGCAACGCCGCGUGAGUGAUGAAGGUUUUCGGAUCGUAAAACUCUGUUGUCAGGGAAGAACAAGUACCGGAGCAACUGCCGGUACCUUGACGGUACCUGACCAGAAAGCCACGGCUAACUACGUG